rnacentral:lncRNA from 1 species
AGCGGUAAAAUUUCUCAUCUGGUCAAGAUCUAUCUGCCCUGAAAUUUUUAGAUGAAUCGGACAACUCGUUGUUAGGUUGCUGCCCCUAAAUUGGUAAUUUUAAGGAAAUUUUGCUGUUUUGGGUUAUUAUCUUGAAUAUUAUUAUAGAUAGAGAUAAACUGUAAACAGCAAUAAUGUACAGCAAUUUAAGACUCAAAAAUAAGUCAAAAUGAUCAAAAUGGUCAAUUGACCCCCGAAGAAGUUAUUGUCCUAUUUAAUCAAUUUUUAACAAUUUUCAUAAAAUUUUUAAUUUUUUACUAACAUUUUCCACUGAAACUACACGGACAAGUUCAUUAUAGAUAGAGAUAAUUGUAAGCAGCAAGAAUGUUCAGUAAAGUAAGAUGUUCAAACAUCCCCUGGCUACGGGUAUGAUAUAUAUAAGAUCACUGAAUAAUAUGUAUGUAUUUUGUGCUCGUAUGAAUACUUUGUAAAAUGCAACUAACAAAAGAUAUAAAUAUAAAGUAUAUAUAUUUUGCUAAUCAAAUCCCCUGGUUUUAUUAGCAAUUAACAACACAGGGAGGAACCUUAGCGUCAUUGUUGUAGCGCUAAGGGACAUUGUUCACAACCAGGAAUGAAAUAAAAUAUUUAAAGUUGAAAAAAAAAAGUGUAUAAUUUAACUUUAUAAUACUGUAUGAACUUAUAAAAAAAAAAAGAUGUUCAAACACAUCACAAUCACCUAAACACAAUUUUGUCAUGAACUGUCUGCUUCCUUUGUUUAAUUCACAUAUACCAAGGUGAGCGACACAGGCUCUUUAGAGCCUCUAGUUUAAUUCUAAAUUCCAUUUCAAGUCGGAGUAAAUCAGCAAAAGAAUGUUGAUGACGUCACAGUCACAUCUCAAUAUUAUGCAUAUUAGCUGAUAGACAAAAUACUGUCAGCCAAACAAAACUCACGUUACAUCCAAAAUUAUAUGAUAUAUAAUUAUAAUAAAUCUUAAUGUUGAUGUGUUUAUAUCUGAUAUAUUGCAUAUUGAUAACUUUAGAUUUUAGAUUUUGAAAAUUAAAAUAUGCACA